UACGGAGGAUCCGAGCGUUAUCCGGAUUUAUUGGGUUUAAAGGGUGCGCAGGCGGGAUGUUAAGUCGGCGGUGAAAUUUUGCAGCUCAACUGUAAAAGUGCCUUCGACACUGGCUUCCUUGAGUGUGGAUGAAGUAGGCGGAAUUUGUGGUGUAGCGGUGAAAUGCUUAGAUAUCACGAGGAACUCCGAUUGCGCAGGCAGCUUACUAAACCACUACUGACGCUCAUGCACGAAGGCGUGGGGAUCAAACAGGAUUAGAUACCCG
rnacentral:rRNA from 1 species